AUUGAACGCUGGCGGCAUGCCUUACACAUGCAAGUCGAACGGCAGCACGGGAGCAAUCCUGGUGGCGAGUGGCGAACGGGUGAGUAAUACAUCGGAACGUGCCCAGUCGUGGGGGAUAACGUAGCGAAAGCUACGCUAAUACCGCAUACGAUCUAUGGAUGAAAGCGGGGGAUCGCAAGACCUCGCGCGAUUGGAGCGGCCGAUAUCAGAUUAGGUAGUUGGUGAGGUAAAGGCUCACCAAGCCGACGAUCUGUAGCUGGUCUGAGAGGACGACCAGCCACACUGGGACUGAGACACGGCCCAGACUCCUACGGGAGGCAGCAGUGGGGGAAUUUUUGGACAAUGGACGCAAGUCUGAUCCAGCCAUUCCGCGUGCAGGAUGAAGGCCCUCGGGUUGUAAACUGCUUUUGUACGGAACGAAAAGGUUUCUAUUAAUACUAGGAGCUCAUGACGGUACCGUAAGAAUAAGCACCGGCUAACU
rnacentral:rRNA from 1 species